GACGAAGGGGGCUAGCGUUGUUCGGAAUUAUUGGGCGUAAAGAGCUCGUAGGCGGUCUGUCGCGUCUGCUGUGAAAACCCGAGGCUCAACCUCGGGCCUGCAGUGGGUACGGGCAGACUAGAGUGCGGUAGGGGAGAUUGGAAUUCCUGGUGUAGCGGUGGAAUGCGCAGAUAUCAGGAGGAACACCGAUGGCGAAGGCAGAUCUCUGGGCCGUAACUGACGCUGAGGAGCGAAAGCGUGGGGAGCGAACAGG
rnacentral:rRNA from 1 species